rnacentral:rRNA from 1 species
UACGUAGGGGGCUAGCGUUGUCCGGAAUCAUUGGGCGUAAAGCGCGUGUAGGCGGUCCGGUAAGUCCGCUGUGAAAGUCGAGGGCUCAACCCUCGAAUGCCGGUGGAUACUGUCGAGCUCGAGUCCGGAAGAGGCGAGUGGAAUUCCUGGUGUAGCGGUGAAAUGCGCAGAUAUCAGGAGGAACACCAAUGGCGAAGGCAGCUCGCUGGGACGGUACUGACGCUGAGACGCGAAAGCGUGGGAGCAAACAGG